rnacentral:rRNA from 1 species
UACGUAGGGGGCAAGCGUUGUCCGGAAUCACUGGGCUUACAGGGUGCGUAGGCGGCUUGUCAAGUAGGGUGUGAAAGCCCCCGGCUCAACCGGGGAAUUGCGCCCUAAACUGGCGAGCUGGAGUGAGAUAGGGGUGUGUGGAACUUCCGGUGGAGCGGUGAAAUGUGUUGAUAUCGGAAGGAACGCCGGUGGCGAAAGCGACACACUGGAUCUUGUCUGACGCUGAGGCACGAAAACCAGGGGAGCGAACGGG